ACCGGUUUGGUUUUUGUUUUUGUUUUGGCAUGUUCUAGAGACCACACUCAGGUCUUGAUACUCAAAAGGUAAGUGUUUCACUAACUGAGUCAUCCCACCAAUCCCUCCAGGCCUUCCUAAGGUCACCUGCCUGGCUUGUACUUUCAGCCUGGUCCUGCCUGCACUCCUGCUGUGACGUGAGGUCCUUACAACCCCAGGACCUGGAAGAAGUGAAAAGAAAGUUCCAUCCCACUUGAUGAAGUGCCUGACUUGAUUCUUUGCAUAAAGAGAAACCGCCUCAGGGACCGACCAACAGAUAAAACAACAGUAAAUGGUGAAAAUGAGAUUGCCCUUCCACCAGAGGGUGGCUCGGCCUAAUUUGACAGUCUUUCACAUUGUUCAGGCUGGCCACAAAAUCACUAUGUAUCCAGGGAUAACCUUGAACUACUGAUCCUUUUGUCAGGACCCCUCAAGGACUGGGAUUACAGGUUCCUGUCCAGGAAAUCAUGUCGAGUUGAGUUGCUGUCUCCUCAGUUUUCUCUUGCCUGUGAUGCAUGCAAGACUUUCCUCAUAUUUUUGUUUUUGUUUGCUUGUUUUGAGAUGGAUUUUGUUCAGGCUGGACUGGUACUUGCAAUGCAGCUUCAAGUGAAAUCCUUGGUGAGGUCCCUGUGUCAGCCUCCAGAAUGUUGGGGUGAUAGGAGUACAAUCCAGAUUUCCCUUUACAGAGAAUUUUCAUAACAUUGUCAGGUGUUUUAUAGGAUGGCCCUUCCUUGUAAUUUGUCUGAAGUUUUUUCUCAUGAUUACAUUGGGGUCCUAGGUUUGGAGCAGGAGCCCAC